rnacentral:rRNA from 1 species
AUUGAACGCUGGCGGCAGGCCUAACACAUGCAAGUCGAGCGGAUGAAGGGAGCUUGCUCCUGGAUUCAGCGGCGGACGGGUGAGUAAUGCCUAGGAAUCUGCCUGGUUGUGGGGGAUAACGUCCGGAAACGGGCGCUAAUACCGCAUACGUCCUGAGGGAGAAAGUGGGGGAUCUUCGGACCUCACGCUAUCAGAUGAGCCUAGGUCGGAUUAGCUAGUUGGUGGGGUAAAGGCCUACCAAGGCGACGAUCCGUAACUGGUCUGAGAGGAUGAUCAGUCACACUGGAACUGAGACACGGUCCAGACUCCUACGGGAGGCAGCAGUGGGGAAUAUUGGACAAUGGGCGAAAGCCUGAUCCAGCCAUGCUGCGUGUGUGAAGAAGGUCUUCGGAUUGUAAAGCACUUUAAGUUGGGAGGAAGGGCAGUAAGUUAAUACCUUGCUGUUUUGACGUUACCAACAGAAUAAGCACCGGCUAACUUCGUG